rnacentral:lncRNA from 1 species
UUGAUAGUUUGCCUCUUCAGAUGACAGGAACACAGAUGUGAAUAAAAUUUGAGUUGCUAGCAGUUGAUUAGUUAAUAGUAGUUUUCCCAACUCCUCUGUUCAUGUUACCUUUUUCUAGAGCAGUAAUUAUAGAAAUCUUCCCCAGACAUCAUAGGAGUGGACAGAUAGUAUUACGUUCUAUGUAUUAGCACAGAUUAGUUCAGUUAGUUUUCACACUUAAUGUUGUUAUUAAUAUUAUAGUAAUAACUAUCCUUUUCACUUUUCCUCAUAUUUAUGCUUUGAUUUUUCUAGAUUCUUUGUUCCCGAACUAUUUUUUGGGUAAAAGGAUUCCUAGAAUUCAGAAUAGAUAGGUUUUAAAAGAACCAGAAAUUUUGACUAAUGAUAGCCCUUGAAUCACAGUUCAAAGAGCAGAGUUACACUAGAAUCAAGACUAAAUGUUCUUUUUGUGCUAUUUGUUUUGAUGUUUUUCAGAGUUUGUGAUUGCACAAACUUGUGCCUUUAGUGGUGUAUAGAUUACUUCUAUAUGUGAAUUCACUGUUUUUUUUUAAUGUGUUUCAAUACAUAGAGCCAAUAAGUUUUCAGUUUUAGCUGUGCCCGUCGCAGAGAAGUAGUAGUUAUCACUGUUUGGGUUUUACUGUAAAAUUCAUACUUGAUUAAAACUAUAAGGAUACAGAAUAAAAUUUGGCAUAAAUGAUUUUAGUGAUAGACUGAAAAAUAAUGUUUGCAUAAUACUGUCUUUUUAAGAAAUUCUAAAUUGAAUUCUAUAUUUCAAAUAUUGAGUAGCAAUCUUACAUUCUUUGGGUGCUUUUGUAAUUUUAUAUCUAAAU